UUGAAGAAGACGAUGAGAAGCAGCUUUUGCUUUGCACACCCGAUUUUGGGUCUGUAGCUCAGUUGGUUAGAGCGCACCCCUGAUAAGGGUGAGGUCGGCAGUUCGAAUCUGCCCAGACCCACCAGUUACCUGGUGAAGUUGGUCAGAGCGCGUACGACACCCGGAUACGGGGCCAUAGCUCAGCUGGGAGAGCGCCUGCCUUGCACGCAGGAGGUCAGCGGUUCGAUCCCGCUUGGCUCCACCACUUACUGCUUCUGUUUGAAAGCUUAGAAAUGAGCAUUCCAUCCUGAUUGAAGGGUGCGUGAAUGUUGAUUUCUAGUCUUUGAUUAGAUCGUUCUUUAAAAAUUUGGGUAUGUGAUAGAAAGAAAUAUAGACCGGGCACCUCUUUCACUGGUGCGUGUCCGGGCUAAGGUAAAGUUUGUGAAAUGCAAACUUUCGGCGAAUGUCGUCUUCACAGUAUAACCAGA
rnacentral:tRNA from 1 species